GGAUGUAGCUCAGUGGUAGAGCUUGGCUUAGCAUGCUUGAGGCCCUGGGUUCAAUCCCCAGCACUCCA
rnacentral:tRNA from 1 species